rnacentral:rRNA from 1 species
CGAAAGCCUGACGGAGCAAUACCGCGUGAGGGAGGAAGGCUCUUGGGUUGUAAACCUCUUUUCUCAAGGAAUAAUAAGUUGAAGGUACUUGAGGAAUAAGCAUCGGCUAACUCCGUGCCAGCAGCCGCGGUAAUACGGAGGAUGCAAGCGUUAUCCGGAAUGAUUGGGCGUAAAGCGUCCGCAGGUGGUUUAUCAAGUCUGCUGUCAAAGCGUCUGGCUUAACUAGAUAAAGGCAGUGGAAACUGAGAGACUGGAGUAUGGUAGGGGUAGAGGGAAUUCCCGGUGUAGCGGUGAAAUGCGUAGAGAUCGGGAAGAACACCGGUGGCGAAAGCGCUCUGCUGGACCAUAACUGACACUGAGGGACGAAAGCUAGGGGAGCG